GACGAACGCUGGCGGCGUACCUAAUACAUGCAUGUCGAGCGGACUUUCAAGAAGCUUGCUUUUUGAAAGUUAGCGGCGGACGGGUGAGUAACACGUGGGCGACCUGCCUGUAAGACGGGGAUAACUCCGGGAAACCGGGGCUAAUACCGGAUAAUAUCUUUCUUCGCAUGAAGGAAGGUUGAAAGGCGGCGCAAGCUGCCGCUUGCAGAUGGGCCCGCGGCGCAUUAGCUAGUUGGUGAGGUAACGGCUCACCAAGGCGACGAUGCGUAGCCGACCUGAGAGGGUGAUCGGCCACACUGGGACUGAGACACGGCCCAGACUCCUACGGGAGGCAGCAGUAGGGAAUCUUCCGCAAUGGACGAAAGUCUGACGGAGCAACGCCGCGUGAGCGAAGAAGGUCUUCGGAUCGUAAAGCUCUGUUGUCAGGGAAGAACAAGUACCGUUCGAAUAGGGCGGUACCUUGACGGUACCUGACCAGAAAGCCACGGCUAACUACGUGCCAGCCGCCGCCGUAA
rnacentral:rRNA from 1 species